GACGAACGCUGGCGGCGUGCCUAAUACAUGCAAGUCGAACGCUUCUUUCCUCCCGAGUGCUUGCACUCCAUUGGAAAGAGGAGUGGCGGACGGGUGAGUAACACGUGGGUAACCUACCCAUCAGAGGGGGAUGACACUUGGAAACAGGUGCUAAUACCGCAUAACAGUUUAUGCCGCAUGGCAUAAGAGUGAAAGGCGCUUUCGGGUGUCGCUGAUGGAUGGACCCGCGGUGCAUUAGCUAGUUGGUGAGGUAACGGCUCACCAAGGCCACGAGGCAUAGCCGACCUGAGUGGGUGAUCGGCCACCCUGGCACUUGGACACCGCCCAUACUCCUACGGGAGGCAGCAGUAGGGAAUCUUCGGCAAUGGACGAAAGUCUUACCGAGUAACGCCGCGUGAGUGAAGAAGGUCUUCGGAUCGUAAAACUCUGUUGUUAGAGAAGAACAAGGACGUUAGUAACUGAACGUCCCCUGACGGUAUCUAACCAGAAAGCCACGGCUAACUACGUG
rnacentral:rRNA from 1 species